rnacentral:tmRNA from 1 species
GGGGGUAACUGGAUUUGACGGCAAGCCGAGAUGGUGCGUAAGCAUGCGGAGUGACGGCUGUGGACUCCUAAAACACGUCGGUCGGAAAAUUAAUUGGCAACAACGAGUAUGCUCUCGCUGCUUGAUCGAAGUACAGUAGAUCACGAGCUUAAUUCCCCUACAAGGUAGAGGAACGAGACGUCGCCCCAAGGAUGUUGUUCCGAAUCUGAGGACAAGGCGGCGCAGGAAAAUCGGAAAUAGUCAUGCCAGGCCCCGAUGGCACGAUGAAGAUUUAGGGGAUAAGGCGGCGGCUCAGUGGUCCAGGUCUUGCUGACGCACGAAAAUGUAGUCUGGAAUAAGCAUGUAGAAAGCGCAUGGUUUCCUUGUGCGGACGAGAGUUCGACUCUCUCUACCUCCACC